rfam:Lepisosteus oculatus linkage group LG4, whole genome shotgun sequence.
GCCAGCAGCCAUAUCACCCUGCAACUCACAGCUGGCAGCCCCACUGAAGCUCAGCAGGUGUGAGCCUGGUCAGUACCUGGGUGGGAGACCUCCUGGGAAAAACUAAGGCUGCUGCUGGAA